rnacentral:lncRNA from 1 species
AAAAUAUUAAAUAUUUAUUAAUUAAUAAAUAUAAACUAACAUUAUAAAUAAAUAACAUUAAAUAUUAAUUAAUUAAAAAUUAAUUAACUUAAAUAAAAUUAAAAAUUUAGUAAUUUUAUAUAGAGUUUCAUCAUUAUCCACGGAUGGAAACUCAAAAGCGCCGUGUGCGCAUUGCGCACAGCCCACUCUCAGGCAAAAGAAGAUCAACCCCUGCUUCACUGGCUCUACACUCUUCCAAGUUUCUUCAUCAUCCAUCUACACUCUCUCAUUCUUUGUCGCUGUCUCUAUCUCUCUCCUAAUCACAUGUUAAAUAAUCCUUCAACUCACUAGAAUCCCCUCGCACACUGAGCUUCACUCNNNN